rnacentral:lncRNA from 1 species
UAUAUAUAUAUAUAUGAAAUAAUAAGGAUGAAAUGAACAUAAGCAAUUCUUAUUUUUCAUUCUAAAAGCAUUUUUUUCUAGGCAAGGUGCAACUGCAUUUAAGGAAAGCCAUAAGGUCAAUAUUUAAGAAAAAAUGUCUUAAAUGUGAAGGCCAACAAGACUCCAAUCCAAUUAUUUUAGCUUUCCUCCUAGAAGUUCACGAGCUAGUUAAGGAUAACAGAGUUUUAGCAUUUCAAAAAAUAUUGAUGACUGUAAGCCAAGGCUGAAAGUACCAUCUGGUUCACCAAUGCUGGUCAUUGGCUAGCAUACAAUAUCAGACUGUGUCAUGCCAUAUAGGUCUCCUAACAAAAGAGAGAAGAAGAAAAAUAAAGAAAAUAGCCAAUUCGUGUCAAUAAAUGCUAGUCCAUGUCAGCUGUAUCAUGCCCAUAUCCAGUUGUCGUGGUACAUAACAUUUAGCACACACUGGCACUUGAAUCCAUGUUAUUAGCUAAAGAGAACUGAAACUCACCUUCAUAAUUCAUAAGUUUAGACUAUAACAAUAUUCCUUUUAGAAUUUUUAAGCAGCAGUAUAAAGUUGUCAAUUUUAAAUAAGAGGAACAUGCAAGUACCAAAGUACCAGACAAGAACCCCUCUUUAACAAAGACAAACAGCCAGCAAGUACUCCAAAACUAAGAGUUAAACUUUGAGAUGGCUAACAUAUAGAAUGGUUACUCAACCGGGUCCUUGGACCAAUCAGAGGCCCAAACAACGCAGGUCAGACCAAAAUGAUAAAUGGAUCCAUUGAUCUAAACAGAAGGGCUUGAAAUACACAUACUCCGGUCUUCAAUUUCUCAACCCUUGCACCUUCAUUGUACCGCUUGUGGCUGUACUGUCUGACACUAACUAGUCAUAUUUGUUACGAGCAUACCUUUCUAGGCUAGCAACCACUCAAUUGGUGCACAAUAUGAUGGGAAAGUCUACAUAAAAGCCAUGCAGUGAACAACUCCGCCAUUAGUAAAGUCACAGAAGCCAAUGAGAUUAUGAUGCCUUUUGACACGGUAUACAUCUUCUGUCCCUAGUUAGCAACGUUCCAUCAAGAUUUUGAUUCUAUCUUGAUUUGGGUAUGAUACAUUGUAAAACAUACCCAUCAUGUUGGGUACUUCUAUCCAACUAACAGAUCACACUCAUAUCAGCAUCCACCCUAAACCCUUUAACAAAGGUGAAAAGGCACCAUUAAAAUGAAACUUCACAACCUGUUCCCUUUUCAUCCUUGCAUUCGGCCUAUUAAUCCAUGACCAAGCCAUCUUGAAGGAUCUAACACUAAGAAGAAAACAGAAGCAACAAGAUCACCAAUAGUCCCCAUUCUAUGAAUAUCCAGAACCAAACAUUCAGCUUCUUACAAAUGACAUCACAUGC